rnacentral:rRNA from 1 species
GUGGGGAAUAUUGGACAAUGGGCGAAAGCCUGAUCCAGCCAUGCCGCGUGUGUGAAGAAGGUCUUCGGAUUGUAAAGCACUUUAAGUUGGGAGGAAGGGCAGUAAGUUAAUACCUUGCUGUUUUGACGUUACCGACAGAAUAAGCACCGGCUAACUUCGUGCCAGCAGCCGCGGUAAUACGAAGGGUGCAAGCGUUAAUCGGAAUUACUGGGCGUAAAGCGCGCGUAGGUGGUUCAGUAAGUUGGAAGUGAAAUCCCCGGUCUCAACCUGGGAACUGCUUUCAAAACUGCUGAGCUAGAGUACGGUAGAGGGUGGUGGAAUUUCCUGUGUAGCGGUGAAAUGCGUAGAUAUAGGAAGGAACACCAGUGGCGAAGGCGACCACCUGGACUGAUACUGACACUGAGGUGCGAAAGCGUGGGGAGCAAACAGGAUUAGAAACCCGAGUAGUCC